AUAAAUGAAACCAACUUUUCAUUAGUACGACCAUUUAAAAUUCUAUUUUAAACACCACAGGGGCACAUUUGUAUAUAUAAAAGCACCACUGGAAGCCACAAUAAUUCCCAGCUUACACGUUGUAACACGUUUGUUUUAUUUUGGCUGUUAUCCUGAGAUCAAGCUGUGAUUAGUACAGUUGAGAAUAAACUUAAAGCGUAGCUUACUCAGCAGGUGAAUCAGGCGAGUCUGUGUUGUAUUUAAUGUGACUAUAGCAUCAUCUACUGGUAAAAAAAUAAGUCGCCGCCCUCUAUUUUGGACCUUCUGCUUGCCGUAGUUGUGAGAAUCCAAAAUGGCAGCCUCCUUGAGGGCGUGUUGUUCCUCCGGCGAAGCAGUCAAUAUUAAGCAUAGUAUUUGUUUUAUGAGCCUGUCGUGCUUUGUUGCAAAAUAGACGUUUUGCUGUUGAAAUCAGGAAUGCAUCUAAACGUUAUUCCAGUAAAAGCACGACAUCAGCUGGCGUGCAAAUGAAUGUCUGGUGUUAAUACGAAGUAACAACGGAGUAGUGAACUGUUUUAAGUGGUCCUUUCUGUUUCUAAUGGGUAAUAUCUGUUUUCACAUCACUUACAGUGUCGAGGCAGUCCAAACGCUCAUUUUCAUCGUCGUGUGUGACCCUUGCAGGAAAAGACUGGAGUGGGUUUCCUCGGCAGUUCAUUAUUAACAAAUUGUAUUUUAAAAUUGUUUUUGAGUUGACUACAUAAUAAUAAUACGAAGGGGAAAAAAGGAUUAAAUCAGAGUGUUGCAUGCAUUAGAUUCUAAUAACAAUGGUUAAUCUUGAUGCCAGUGGUUUGGGUGUUGUCUACAGAAAUGGUUAAGCACGUGGUGGAUCAGAAUAUGGACCAUUAACAGAUCUACCUAACUGGUCAUAUAUGGUUCAUGGGUGACAUUUAAUUUCUAAGAAAAACUUUUGUUUCAAAUGUUAAUAUUUGUGUCCACAUUUAGAGAAGAGCAGUGUAUCUCAGUACAGAGGUGGAUGAAGGGAUGAAGAUAUGGCAAGAGAAGGAAGAGGAGAAACAGAAAGAAGAGCAGUGUCUUUCUUGUUCAUCUCUAAACCUUAUCAAGCAGAGAGCGUUGACAGUAGAGGAGGCGGUGAGGAGUGCCAUAGAACCGGAAGAACAGCAGAGCCCCCAAAGUGACAAGCACUAAGGCCAAAAGAAAGAGAGGGACGACAAUGGCUACAAUUUUUUCCAUGUCUCCGCCCUCUGACUCAAUGAUGAUCACUUCCUCAUCUGUGCCGGUCCUUCUCUUGGGCUCCUCUUCUUCACAGCCCAUCCAGUCAGUCAGGACUGAUUUGGGGUAGCCUGGCUCCACCUUUAGCUGCUGAUUGUUUAACUUCCAGUACUUAUUGUUUUUGUAGAAGUAAACGUGGGCUGAAAAAAGUGUGGAAAGAAUUCAUUCAGAAUAAGUGUUUCUACAUUUCUAAAGCAAACAGAUAAUUUGGGCUCUGAUUGGUAAAUACAGUACUCCAGCCGUAUAUUUACAGCUCAAAAGUUUGGGCAAGGAUUUAGCAAGGAUGCAUUUAAAAUGCUCAAACACAAGACAUUUACAAUGUCACAAAAAAUUUAAUAUUUCAAAUAAAUGCUGUUCUUGUCAA